rnacentral:rRNA from 1 species
UACGGAGGAUGCAAGCGUUAUCCGGAUUUAUUGGGUUUAAAGGGUGCGUAGGUGGAAUGAUAAGUCAGUGGUGAAAUCCUACAGCUUAACUGUAGAACUGCCAUUGAUACUGCCAUUCUUGAGUAUGAUUGAAGUGGGCGGAAUGUGACAUGUAGCGGUGAAAUGCAUAGAUAUGUCACAGAACACCGAUAGCGAAGGCAGCUCACUAAGCCAUAACUGACACUGAGGCACGAAAGCGUGGGUAGCGAACAGG